ACUGUAUCAGAGACUCCUUCACGCAACUACCUUCUAGGAUAAAUACGACAUCAUUAUCCAGCUAACGUGUUACUCUUCACGCCUAUUCGGACGGUGCGCAGGGUUCUGAAAAAUCUAAUGUAUCGAGGUAAACUCACAAAACUACACAGCGACCGAGGCUCUGAAUCGAAGCACAGAUUCAAGGCAAUGACCUCCACUGGCCAGCCGGAGACAACAGUUGGAGACAAGCCGCAGGUCAGUAGCGUUGGAGAGGGAUGGUAUAAUUCAGUUUAUAUCCCAAAACUUGGUAUUCCACCAUAACCUAUGCACACUACAGAGCUCUCAAUUAUGUUUUUGCAACUGUGUGUGUCUGUGAGUGUGUGUGUGUUGGAGGUGAGCGUUUUAGCAUGCCCGGAGGUUCCUCCUCUCGUGCUGCCUCACUAUACUGACAAACGGUCAGCCUUCGUCCCUCCCCAUUGCUCCUACCACAGCCUGGGACACUGUCUACGCACCAACAUCUUUCCAGGAYCUCCUCUGGUGUGGAAGUCCCUGAUAAAAGACUCCUACAUCGGUCACCACUUGCCCGCCCCUCCUACAGACGCCCAGCGUUGGUACGGCCGCAGGACUGAUGACAUUGUGAAAUGGACAGAAAGAAACAUUGUGAACCAGAAGUUGAACAAGGUGCUAAAGGCAAUGGAGAACAAGGGUCUAAAUGAGGCCAUGGUGCAGUGGCCAUUUCACACCUUCACCGCAGCGCCCAUGCACCCUCCACAUUAUUCACAUCUCUUUUUACACAUAUAUAUCUACAUYCAAGCCUUUACAAACCUUUUCUGGUACGUUCAGUGUCACAUUCACACACAUGCACAAGCAUACACACACAAACAUUGUCACAAACUCUCAAAAGUACAAAAACAACUCAUCUCCUGACCUCUAAACACAUUCCAACACAUUUGUAGGCAGACACAAGUUCAUGAUCUCUCUUUUACCUCAAUAAAAGUAGAACAGCAUCGCUCA